AGCUUUGCGCAGUGGCAGUAUCAUAGCCAAUGGAUUUAUCUGAGGCACGAUUGUUGCUAAUUGAGAACUUUUCUCAAUUAGG
ensembl:snRNA U4 U4 spliceosomal RNA